rnacentral:rRNA from 1 species
AGGGAAAGCUGGCGGUAGGCCUAACACAUGCAAGUCGAACGGCAGCACAGUAAGAGCUUGCUCUUACGGGUGGCGAGUGGCGGACGGGUGAGGAAUACAUCGGAAUCUACUUUUUCGUGGGGAUAACGUAGGGAAACUUACGCUAAUACCGCAUACGACCUACGGGUGAAAGCAGGGGAUCUUCGGACCUUGCGCGAUUGAAUGAGCCGAUGUCGGAUUAGCUAGUUGGCGGGGUAAAGGCCCACCAAGGCGACGAUCCGUAGCUGGUCUGAGAGGAUGAUCAGCCACACUGGAACUGAGACACGGUCCAGACUCCUACGGGAGGCAGCAGUGGGGAAUAUUGGACAAUGGGCGCAAGCCUGAUCCAGCCAUACCGCGUGGGUGAAGAAGGCCUUCGGGUUGUAAAGCCCUUUUGUUGGGAAAGAAAAGCAGCAGGUUAAUACCCCGCUGUUCUGACGGUACCCAAAGAAUAAGCACCGGCUAACUUCGUG